rnacentral:misc_RNA from 1 species
GAUGAAGAACGCAGCAAAAUGCGAUAAGUAAUGUGAAUUGCAGAAUUCAGUGAAUCAUCGAAUCUUUGAACGCACAUUGCGCCCGCCAGUAUUCUGGCGGGCAUGCCUGUUCGAGCGUCAUUUCAACCCUCAAGCACAGCUUGGUGUUGGGACUCGCGUUAAUUCGCGUUCCCCAAAUUGAUUGGCGGUCACGUCGAGCUUCCAUAGCGUAGUAGUAAAACCCUCGUUACUGGUAAUCGUAGCGGCCACGCCGUUAAACCCCAACUUCUGAAUGUUGACCUCGGAUCAGGUAGGAAUACCCGCUGAACUUAAGCAUAUCAAUAAGCGGAGGA